CGGGUUUAAAAACCGUAAACCGGGUUUACGGGUAAACGGGUUUACGGGUAAACCCCCGUUUUACGGUACCCCGUUUUUUAACGGUAACCGUUACGGGUAAACCGUAAAACCGUUUUAAACCCGCGUAAAGGUGAGCUAAUGCCGGAUGAGUUAUAUAAGUGCAUGUUUAUAUAGGAAAAGUUGGGGAGACCUGACGCUGAAAGAUGGACUCGCGUCCCAUUAGCUAGUUGGUAGGGUAAUGGCCUACCAAGGCGACGAUGGGUAGCCGGCCUGAGAGGGUGGCCGGCCACACUGGGACUGAGACACGGCCCAGACUCCUACGGGAGGCAGCAG
rnacentral:rRNA from 1 species